rnacentral:lncRNA from 1 species
UGAAGAAUCAAUAACAGAAAAUAAAAUGAUGCCAGUCAUGUUCAUAUUAACUAUUAUUUAAAUCUGAAUUAGUGGCUACUUUAAUGGAAUGAAUAGAGAAUAGACACUUUGAAAAUAGUAAUUAAUGAGCAUAGGAGGCCUAAAAGUGCCUCCUGUUUCUUGUAAUCCUUUUUAAAAAGAUUAAUGUGGUUUACAUUCAUCUAGACAACUCAGGUAACAACGAAGAAUAGCUUUAACCCUACUUUAUUAUAGCAUGAUUGUAUUCAGUAGUUACUAAGGGACCAUAUGUGUUAGUGGUGUGAGGUUCAUUCUGUGUGUGUGUGUGUGUGUGUGUGUGUGUGUGUUUUAAAUGAGUUUUGUUUGUAGUACUGGAGUUUGAAUCUAGAGGCACUGUACUGUACAACUGAGCUACAUUCUUACCCCUUUCUACUUUUCAUUUUGAGAUAGUGUCUCCCUGAGUUGCUGAAGCUGGCCUUGAACUUAAAUCCUUCUGCCUCAGCCUCCCAUCACUGAGAUUUUAGGUGUGCGCCACCACACCUGGCUACAUAUUAUUUCAUUUGAUGCUUUAAAAUCUGAAGGAUAUACAGAUCGGAAGGGUAAUGAUGCUUUAUGGUGUAACACUCACUUUUGUGACCUAAUCAUUAUCUGUUAAAUAUUCUGCCAGUGGUUCUCAAAGUGUGUUUACCACACCACUAGCAUUCAGCUUCACUUUGAAAUCUGUUAAAAAUCCUAAAUUCUUUGGCCCCACCCAACACUUGAAUUAGAAACUUUUGAGUGUGAAGCCUAGCUAGCAAUCAUUUUAACAAAGUAUAGGUACUUCUGAAGUGGCCAAAGCUUUCAAACUGUUACAUUAUGCAUUUCUAUGUUUUAAGCAAAGAUCUUCAUUUGUCUUUUUGGACAUUGUAUCAAUAUAUAAAAUGUGAACUUUUUUUUUUUUUUUAAAGGCCUUGUCUUUUGCUGUUUUCAUUGCAAAAGAUUGUUAUCAGUAAAAACUUCAUUGUGGACAUUGGCAGCUUGACAUAACCCCAUUAGUUUAGUAUUAUCUCUGGAACUCGAAUCAGUUUUCAUGUCCAGGCGA